GUUCUGGUGGUUCGGCGGGAGGGUCAUACCCGUUCUCAUUCCGAACACGGCAGUCAAGCCUCCUAGCGGCGAUGGUACUCAUCGUUUUAGAUGGGGAGAGUAGCUAACCGCCAGAACC
rnacentral:rRNA from 2 species